GAUGAAGAACGUAGCGAAAUGCGAUAAGUAAUGCGAAUUGCAGAAUCCGUGAGUCAUCGAAUCUUUGAACGCACAUUGCGCCCCUUGGUAUUCCAUGGGGCAUGCCUGUUCGAGCGUCAUUUGUACCUUCAAGCUUUGCUUGGUGUUGGGUGUUUGUCCAUUCUCUUGCAGAGGGACUCGCCUUAAAGUAAUUGGCAGCCAGUGUUUUGGUUUUGAAGCGCAGCACAAGUCGCGAUUCAACGCUAUACGCCAGCUUCCACAAGCCUUUUUCACUUUUGACCUCGGAUCAGGUAGGGAUACCCGCUGAACUUAAGCAUAUCAAUAAGCGGAGGA
rnacentral:misc_RNA from 1 species